AACCGAAUAUAGCUAACGUUACAACAAACUGGAAAUGGCAAUCGAUACCAACACCUCUUGGAAAACAACACUUAUAAUCAGCACCUCACCUCAGUGUGAUGAAGCCUCGCAGAUUCUUGCAGCGCAGCAGCACAGGAUUCGCCGCUCGGACAACAUUCUGUCCUCUUCCUUUGUUUCCCCCUUGUCAGGUACAGCUUUUUUGCUUUUCA